rnacentral:rRNA from 1 species
UACGGAGGGGGCGAGCGUUGUCCGAAGUUACUGGGCGUAAAGCGCGCGUAGGCGGGUUGGUAAGUCCGCUGUGAAAGCCCGGAGCUUAACUCCGGAGGGUCGGUGGGUACUGCCAGUCUUGAAGGUGCUAGGGGGAGAUGGAAUUACCGGUGUAGCGGUGAAAUGCGUAGAUAUCGGUAGGAACACCAGUGGCGAAGGCGGUCUCCUGGGGCAUUCUUGACGCUGAGGCGCGAAAGCUGGGGGAGCAAACGGG